rnacentral:tRNA from 1 species
GGGGUUGUAGCUCAGCUGGUAGAGCAUUUCGUUCGCAACGAAAGGGUCGCCGGUUCGACUCCGGUCAACUCCACUA